UUGGAGGGCAAGUCUGGUGCCAGCAGCCGCGGUAAUUCCAGCUCCAAUAGCGUAUAUUAAAGUUGUUGCAGUUAAAAAGCUCGUAGUUGAAUUUCGGGGUUAGUAGUUUGGUCGUGCCAAUGGUAUGUACUGGGCUCACUGAUUCCUCCUUCCUGAUGAACUGUAAUGCCAUUAAUUUGGUGUUGCAGGGAAACAGGACUGUUACUUUGAAAAAAUUAGAGUGUUUAAAGCAAGCUAACGCUUGAAUACAUUAGCAUGGAAUAAUGAAAUAGGACGUUCGAACCUAUUUUGUUGGUUUCUAGGAUUGACGUAAUGAUUAAUAGGGAUAGUUGGGGGCAUUAGUAUUCAAUUGUCAGAGGUGAAAUUCUUGGAUUUAUUGAAGACUAACUACUGCGAAAGCAUUUGCCAAGGAUGUUUUCGUUAAUCAAGAACGAAAGUUAGGGGAUCGAAGACGAUCAGAUACCGUCGUAGUCUUAACCAUAAACUAUGCCGACUAGGGAUCGGAUGAUGUUAAUUUUUUAAUGACUCAUUCGGCGCCUUACGGGAAAC
rnacentral:rRNA from 1 species